GAUCUGUGGUGGCUGUUGGCAUGUAUUACCUGAGCGUAAAUGUGAAGGUGGCCAGUUCUGCUCUAGAAUUACGCUGAGACCUG
rnacentral:snoRNA from 1 species